CACCCCAGCUUCACCGCAUCCCCCUGUUCUCUCAGAUGGAGUGGUACGUCCCAGCUCCUCUCCUCCUCCUCCUCCUGCUGCUGCUGCUGUGUCCUCCAUCACUCCAUUUCCUUCAUUCUGCUCUCCUUGAGGACGGAUUCAGGCCUUCCUGCAGAGCAAAUCCCUCGCUUUGUCAUCCUCCGUCUCUGAAAAGAGGAAGAGCUGAGGAAAGACUGCAAGACGACACAGUGAAGUCCAGAAAAACCUACUAGAUUCCUAGACUCCUCAGCUCCAAUCCCACAUGGAAGCAAAAGCCAAAGGAGCGCCGAAGUCUGCCUCCAAAGCAGAGAAGAAGGAGGCAGCACCACCACCGGCAAAACCAGACCCCGUCCCAGCCGAACCAGCCGAUCCCGAAAAACCAGCAGAAGAUGGAUCGACCGACCAACAAGGGGCAGCAGAGUCCGCAGGAUCCUGCUGUGAAACCUUAGAAAGUUUGAAGCCUUUCCUGAUUGGAGGAGCCGUCAUCGCCCUUGGCGCCGUAUUGGUCGGCGUAAUCUUACUAGCCAAAAAAAACUGACCCGAGACCUGUGAUUGGUUGCAAAAUAUUGGUUGAUUAGUUCACAGACUAUUAAAGUUUAUAUCUGUAUACAUAUAUAGCUAUAUAUAUAAAAAGGGGUGGGGAGUCACUAGGCGAUAUAAUUUUAUGCUGUACUUUAAUUUCAAUGCUUGUGGUGACAUUUCCGCCAGCUAUUAAAGCAAGCUAGAGAUUUAGGCCAAACACUUUUUCAUAUCACACAGUUGUAGCUCGUGCAUAUUUACAUUUUCAUCCUAGUCACUCUGCUUGUUGGUACACUGCUCAAAAAAUUUAAAUAAAUAAAAAUCAUCUAUGACACACAUGAAUACAGUUAUAGAGAAAUGUUUGGUCACACAACUGCCAAAAACAAUGACAAAACAAUUUAAGGCUGCACGAUUCAAGUUUAACACGACAGCAGUUUUCUGAGCGAGUCGUUUAAUGUGAUUUCUACAAUACUAGUGGUGUGCGAUAUUGACUAAAAUGAUUCUUAUUUAUUUUUUGAGGAUGUUUUUAUGACAAUUAUUAAAGAAUAUUUAGUGGAGUGUGCUUUUGUGCUAGUUUAGUUAUACAACUUUCAGCAGGAGAAAGCAAAAAGGAGUCAGUCGUUGAAUUAUUCACUCAAACGUUUUGAUCGAAACUAAUGACUCAUGUAUAAACGAAUGAAUCGUUGAAUCAGUGACUCAACUGAUUUGUUCAAAAACAGAUUUUGAAACUAAACACGGCAGAUAUUUGCAUCGGGAUUUGUUUUGUUUAUUUUGUUUUUGUUUGCUUUGAUACAGCUUAACUAUAUCUAGAUAUCAAAUCAACUAAAAACAACAACAUUUUUCACUUUCAUGACGAAUUCUAAAGCAAUUCUGACUCAAGUCUAAUAGGAUUCAUCACACAGUGAAUGUUUUGGACUUACAAGACAUGCUUUGUUCGUUUUUUGCAAAGAGAAUAACAAUAAACAAUGAAAAUUAACCAUGGUUAUACUACAAAUAAAACAUGGUAAACCAUGGUAACCACAAUUUCAUCAUAGUUUUGCUACAAUAACUAUUUGGUAGUCAAUCAAUGCGAUAAAAACAUUUACUGAAUUUUUACUAUAACAAAACCAGUUAUUUUAAAUAAUUAAAUUACAUGUAUUUCCAGUUAUAUAUUUAGUAAAUACAUAUCGCACACCCCUACUUUACAAAUAAAAACAUUCGGUUUCAUAAUCAAAAACUACUCCAACUGAAAUUAGCCUUGUAUUGCUGAAAGAAUGUGUAAAGUAGAAAUGUAAAAAAAUAUUACGGUGUAUAUUUUAUGUUUACAAGCUGCUCGUAUCACCUCAUUUCCAAACCAAAAACAAGUCCUAAAAACAUUUGUACCGUAGUAGCCGAUCAUCUCAAAGUCUUAGUUUCUUGUUGGAACGACGUUGUCGAUUUCCGGAAGUGGGCCAAUGGAAAUAGACGUGUGACGCAACAUAGCUAGAUAUUAAAAUGACGGCUAAAAAAGCUUCAAUUUCACAGACACACUACGACGAAGGCUCGUCACGACAGAAAUAUUCCCUAAAUGCAUGCAGACACGGACAAUAUGCACUCACAAAGUCACAUGAUGAACAUACUGUUACAGAAAAUGACAUUUUCUUUAAAGUGCGUAUAUAAUGCAAUAAUUCAAAUAGAACUCUGUAUUUAACGGAAAGAAGACCAUUUAUUAGUUGUGAUAUUGACGAUGAGGAUGUUGACGCGGCAACAUGGCGGUUGUCUUGAUGAUGAGGAAGGAUGAUUAUGAUUUUAUUUGUUGGAUUUAAUGUAGUUUACCUUUCCCUCUACUGUGCCAUAUGUGUUUAUUUUUGCACUCGCCUGCUGCCUUUCUGCUGUGUGAAAUAAAAUAAGAUGGCUCCCUUGUGACUUGAUGACCUUAUUAAAGGACAAUGAACCACA